GGAUCCUGAGUACGACGGAGCACGUGAAAUUCCGUCGGAAUCUGGGAGGACCAUCUCCUAAGGCUAAAUACUCUCUAGUGACCGAUAGUGAACCAGUACCGUGAGGGAAAGGUGAAAAGCACCCCGGAAGGGGAGUGAAAUAGAACCUGAAACCGUGUGCUUACAAGUAGUCAGAGCCCGUUAAUGGGUGAUGGCGUGCCUUUUGUAGAAUGAACCGGCGAGUUACGAUUUGAUGCAAGGUUAAGCAGUAAAUGU
rnacentral:rRNA from 1 species